CCUACGGGAGGCAGCAGUGGGGAAUCUUGCGCAAUGGGCGAAAGCCUGACGCAGCCAUGCCGCGUGAAUGAUGAAGGUCUUAGGAUUGUAAAAAUUCUUUCACCGGGGACGAUAAUGACGGUACCCGGAGAAGAAGCCCCGGCUAACUUCGUGCCAGCAGCCGCGGUAAUACGAAGGGGGGCUAGCGUUGCUCGGAAUUACUGGGCGUAAAGGGAGCGUAGGCGGAUAGUUUAGUCAGAGGUGAAAGCCCAGGGCUCAACCUUGGAAUUGCCUUUGAUACUGGCUAUCUUGAGUAUGGGAGAGGUUAGCGGAACUCCGAGUGUAGAGGUGAAAUUCGUAGAUAUUCGGAAGAACACCAGUGGCGAAGGCGGCUAACUGGCCCAUUACUGACGCUGAGGCUCGAAAGCGUGGGGAGCAAACAGGAUUAGAUACCCUGGUAGUCCACGCCGUAAACGAUGAGUGCUAGUUGUCGGCAUGCAUGCAUGUCGGUGACGCAGCUACGACAUAAGACACUCCGCCGUGGGAGGUACGGUCGCGAGAGUUAAACGUUAAAGGUAAGUUAGUUACGGACGUGAGACGUGCCGACGGCGACGACGAGGGAGGAGG
rnacentral:rRNA from 1 species